CUCAGGAGGAGCUGUUUUCCUUCCUGGCAGAGUGAUAUGACUCAAGUGUUGCUCUCCUGAGCCGUUAUCAGCUGCUGUUCUACCAGAAAGAUGGCUCUGUGGAGAUGUUUGAUGUGAAAAACCAGCGCACCUUGUUGAGGAGGACCAAAUGCCAUGACCUUCACCAGGAGGACCUCUUUGUGGGGGAACCGUGUGAAUGUGUUCUCCUGCCAACUCAAUCUGAUUGUAUAUUGGGGACCAGUAUACAGGAAACAAGCUCGGCAGCAAGAAAGAGAGGAAGCAGGCGGCAGACUUUUACACUGAACAUCAGACAAAGUCUUUCUUCAACCACCUGGAAGCAAUUUAUGAUCUCUGGGCCUGGGGUUGCCAUGGAGUUGAUGGGUGAAGAGGCAGUGUCAGUAUGAAGAACGAUUAGAUAGAUCUAGGCCCCACUGACUGGGAUGUGGCACGGAAAGAGGCCCGACCAAGCCUCAGAGCCCAGGUUGGCACAGAUCACACCAGAAAUGCUGGACAUGGGUCUGACUCACUGGCUUCAGCAGCAAGAGUAAGUCAUUCUAGUAGAGAGAACAGGAGAGGGCCUAGUACCGAGCCCUUGGGGACAGCAGUAGAGCGAACAGCAGAUGCUCUAAUACUGAUCCUUGGGGGACACCAGUAAUGAGAACAGGUGAGGGCCUAGUACAGAGCCCUGGGGUACACCAGUAGUGAGAAAAGGAGAGGGCCUAGUACAGAGCCCUGGGGUACACCAGUAGUGAGAAAAGGAGAGGGCCUAGUACAGAGCCCCGGGGUACACCAGUAAUGAGUAAUGUUUUGUUAUAUUGUUUAGGAACUGGAAUUUUUUGUUUUUUUGUUUAGGAACUGGACUUGAUGAUUGAGUUGGAGGCGUGCAUGGCCAUGCAGUCAUGGGUGAACAGGGAGUACA